GGGGAUGUAAUGGUUUCGACAUACUACCCAAAAUAUAAAUAGCAAGUAGUGGAUGGUUGCUUUGGCCACUUAAAAAAAGCAAAAUUUAAAAAUAAACGCUAACAAACAAGAAGUAGCAUUAGCUGCCUAAGUGUAGCUACACUUUACUAAAUAGCCCACUUAUUUAGAUAAGGUGUCAUACUAGUGGGAAACAAAUCUACUUUAGCUUUGAAAGUAGAGGGUAUUUUAAAAGCUAUAUUUUAUUUUAACCUGUUUAUCGGUGAAAAUAAAAUGAAUAUAAAAGAUAAACUAAACUUGUAGAAGUUUAUAUGGAAGGUUUUAUGGACAGGAGUUCGAUUCUCCUCAUCUCCACCA
rnacentral:tmRNA from 1 species